AUACGGGUGUGUCGAGCGUUGCUCGGAUUCACUGGGCUUAAAGGGUGUGUAGGCGGGUCACCAAGUCCAUUGUGAAAGCCCACGGCUCAACCGUGGAAGUGCAAUGGAUACUGGUGAUCUUGAGUACGGAAGGGGAGAGUGGAACUCCUGGUGGAGCGGUGAAAUGCGUAGAUAUCAGGAGGAACGCCGGAGGCGAAGGCGACUCUCUAUUCCGUUACUGACGCUGAGGCACGAAAGCCAGGGGAGCGAACGGGAUUAGAAACCCUAGUAGUCC
rnacentral:rRNA from 1 species